UUGACUCGUGUGCUAAAGUGUUUUCUUGUUUAAUCUCUACGCAACGUGUCUUUAAAUGAGUUAGCAUUCAUGUUUAGGAUCAAGCGCAAAGAUGGUUCUAAAUACUUGAGGAGUCUUAACAAUUAGAUAACCGCAAAGGCUCUAAUUAGAAUCGGAAUUGGUUAGAGUCUAGGAUAAUUUGAACGUUGCUGCCCGGCCUUGCAUGAAGUUGUUAUGUGUUCUUGAUGGUUUUUCGUGUUAUGUGUUGUAUGAGUAUGUUGAUCAUUUGUAUAUAAUAAUCUUAGGUUUAAUUUUCAGUAGGUUAUUUGUUAGAAUUAAUCAAUCUUAAACCCCCAAUAUUUCAAUAUAUAUAUGUGAAUACUUGUUUAUAAGUUGUUUGGUUUAUCUUCUUUCGAUCGCCCUUUGGUUUCCCCGGCUAGAACGAUUCAUACUUGUCCAUAUUACUACGAUUGAAGGGUAAUUAAAUUGAAGUUGUUUGACCCCGGUUACGCGACACGUCAAUAUUCCAGUACAUGCAGGACUUUACAACUACCCAGCUUCAGGGACUUCCGGCUCCACCCAUGCCUACGGCUAUACCUCUACCUCAGCCGCCGCAACCUCCGCAUCAACCUCCAGAAGAGGAUAUUAAUUUAGACGAUCUAGAUUUUGUGUAGUUGAUGAAUUAUAUAUUGUUUUAUGUGCUUAUUGUUGUUGUUGGUUAUAUGAAAUUGUUUUGGUGUAUUUUGCAGCUUGCUUGGAAUGGUAAUUUAAAAAUUUCGGGUUUUUUUUUUACUGGAAUGGACUUAUAGCCGACGAAAUACGCAAUAAUUUGUCGGCUAUAGUAUUUUAAGUUUUUUUAAAUAAGGUUUAGCCGAUGAAUUAUGGCACAUUUCGUUGGCUAAACCCUUCUAAAGCCGACGAAACAGACUAUAUUUCGUCGGCUUUAGUUAUUUUUUAAUUUUUAAUUAAACACUUUAGCCGACGAAUAUCUUAAAUUUUUCGUCGGCUAAAGUCUGAGAAAAAACCGACGAUAUGUUUUUCGUCGGCUAAACUCUUGGACUAUAGCCGACGAAUAUCUUAAAUUUUUCGUCGGCUAAAGUCUGGGAAAAAAACCGACGACAUGUUUUUCGUCGGCUAAACUCUGGGAUUAUAGCCGACGAGGUCUUCUAGUUUCGUCGGCUAAAGUCAUCACAGACGACCUUUUCCCGACGAAAUCUUAGCCGACGAAUUAAGCUAACAGGCCGACGAAACUUUUUCAUCGGCUAAAGUGCUUGUCCUGGUAGUGUAUAUAAAUGCUUUAAUAAGUAUGUGGUAAAACUAAAAAUAAAAAUCAAUAAGGAAAAUAAUAAAAUGCAAUCCAUUAUUAUUGAAUUAUUAAGUAAAGAGAGAAUAAAUGUAAUAUUACUUUUUGUUUAAGUAGUGUCCUUAAUAGUUAUUGUGUAAGAGGAUAAAUAAGUCAUUUAAUAAUUCAUAAUN
rnacentral:lncRNA from 1 species